ACGUAGGGGGCAAGCGUUGUCCGGAAUCACUGGGCGUAAAGGGCGCGUAGGCGGCAAUAUAAGUCAGAUGUGAAAGGUGAGGGCUCAACCCUUAGACUGCAUCUGAUACUGUAUAGCUUGAGUGUGAGAGAGGAAAGCGGAAUUCCUAGUGUAGCGGUGAAAUGCGUAGAUAUUAGGAGGAACACCAGUGGCGAAGGCGGCUUUCUGGCUCAUAACUGACGCUGAGGCGCGAAAGCGUGGGGAGCAAACAG
rnacentral:rRNA from 1 species